UACGAAGGGGGCUAGCGUUGUUCGGAAUUACUGGGCGUAAAGCGCACGUAGGCGGAUAUUUAAGUCAGGGGUGAAAUCCCAGAGCUCAACUCUGGAACUGCCUUUGAUACUGGAGAGCUAGAGUCCGGAAGAGGUGAGUGGAACUGCGAGUGUAGAGGUGAAAUUCGUAGAUAUUCGCAAGAACACCAGUGGCGAAGGCGGCUCACUGGUCCGGUACUGACGCUGAGGUGCGAAAGCGUGGGGGGCAAACAGG
rnacentral:rRNA from 1 species